CUGGCCUCAAAUCAGGUAGGACUACCCGCUGAACUU
rnacentral:rRNA from 2 species